rnacentral:rRNA from 1 species
UACGUAGGGUGCAAGCGUUGUCCGGAAUUAUUGGGCGUAAAGAGCUCGUAGGCGGUUUGUCGCGUCGGCUGUGAAAUCCCGAGGCUCAACCUCGGGCCUGCAGUCGAUACGGGCAAACUAGAGUGUGGUAGGGGAGACUGGAAUUCCUGGUGUAGCGGUGAAAUGCGCAGAUAUCAGGAGGAAUACCGAUGGCGAAGGCAGGUCUCUGGGCUGACACUGACGCUCAUGCACGAAAGCGUGGGGAGCAAACAGG